rnacentral:lncRNA from 1 species
AUGACUAAACAGAUUUGCGCAGGCAGGCAGAUCUGUACAGACUGCGAGAGGAAAUCAAAUACAGAGCACGUUGCAGGUUGGCAAUCCCAGUCUGUCUCUUUUUUAUGUUUAUUUCAGUGGAGGCUCAAGCUUCCCUUUUAUUUGAGCAACACUUCCAAAGGGAGGAAAGGCGGGAAGAAACUGCUACGUUGUCGAGGGGUCUCACCAUGUCCCGCGGUGCAGCUAAGGAGAAUUCUGCCAAUUUCCCUAAAAGCUGGCAACUUAUGCUGGUGUGUGCAGACCUAUCUCAAUGUUACAGUUACAGCAGAGCAGCUUUGGGAGAAACGGGGGACAGAAAGAAGGAAAAAGUGGUGCCUCAACAGAAGAUGGUGUAAAGCAAACCAGCCCAAUACAGUAAAGUCACUGUGUCAGGAAGUUCAGAACAAACCCACAUCCCAUCAGAACUAA